ACGUAACCUUUUUUUCGAAACACAUACAAACAUGAAACAUGUAACUAUUUUAAGAAUAUAUAAGCUAAAAAACUCUACAGAAAUGAUGACACUCAUUAUUCUCAAUCCUCGAAUACAGCCGUAUAACUAGGAAAUCGUCAUAAAUACUAUUAGUGUCGGAUCGAAAUAAAUAAUUAGAAUAUAUGUAUAUAUAUUAGCCUUGAAUUUUAAAAUUUCAGGUGUUAUUUAUAUUUUAUUAACUAUAAUAUACUCCCC
rnacentral:lncRNA from 1 species